rnacentral:snoRNA from 1 species
GGCCUCCUGGUGCUUACCAUAGGUUAUAUUCUGUAUACCAACUGUCUAGGGAGAGCAUAGUAAUUCUGUUCUCUAUUCGCCUCUGUCCAGGUUCUUUUUCUGGUCUACAUUGAAAAUGGGUUAUCAUGG